UACGGAGGGUGCAAGCGUUAUCCGGAUUCACUGGGUUUAAAGGGAGCGUAGGUGGGCUGGUAAGUCAGUGGUGAAAUCUCCGAGCUUAACUUGGAAACUGCCAUUGAUACUAUUAGUCUUGAAUAUUGUGGAGGUCAGCGGAAUAUGUCAUGUAGCGGUGAAAUGCUUAGAGAUGACAUAGAACACCAAUUGCGAAGGCAGCUGGCUACGCAUAUAUUGACACUGAGGCUCGAAAGCGUGGGGAGCAAACAGG
rnacentral:rRNA from 1 species